GGGGAAUCUUAGACAAUGGGGGCAACCCUGAUCUAGCCAUGCCGCGUGAGUGAUGAAGGCCUUAGGGUUGUAAAGCUCUUUCAGCUGUGAAGAUAAUGACGGUAGCAGCAGAAGAAGUCCCGGCUAACUCCGUGCCAGCAGCCGCGGUAAUACGGAGGGGACUAGCGUUGUUCGGAAUUACUGGGCGUAAAGCGCACGUAGGCGGAUCGGAAAGUUGGGGGUGAAAUCCCGGGGCUCAACCCCGGAACUGCCUUCAAAACUAUCGGUCUGGAGUUCGAGAGAGGUGAGUGGAAUUCCGAGUGUAGAGGUGAAAUUCGUAGAUAUUCGGAGGAACACCAGUGGCGAAGGCGGCUCACUGGCUCGAUACUGACGCUGAGGUGCGAAAGCGUGGGGAGCAAAC
rnacentral:rRNA from 1 species